rnacentral:rRNA from 1 species
GAUGAACGCUGGCGGCGUGCCUAAUACAUGCAAGUCGAGCGAACAGACGAGGAGCUUGCUCCUCUGACGUUAGCGGCGGACGGGUGAGUAACACGUGGAUAACCUACCUAUAAGACUGGGAUAACUUCGGGAAACCGGAGCUAAUACCGGAUAAUAUAUUGAACCGCAUGGUUCAAUAGUGUAAGACGGUUUUGCUGUCACUUAUAGAUGGAUCCGCGCCGCAUUAGCUAGUUGGUAAGGUAACGGCUUACCAAGGCAACGAUGCGUAGCCGACCUGAGAGGGUGAUCGGCCACACUGGAACUGAGACACGGUCCAGACUCCUACGGGAGGCAGCAGUAGGGAAUCUUCCGCAAUGGGCGAAAGCCUGACGGAGCAACGCCGCGUGAGUGAUGAAGGUCUUCGGAUCGUAAAACUCUGUUAUUAGGGAAGAACAAAUGUGUAAGUAACUAUGCACGUCUUGACGGUACCUAAUCAGAAAGCCACGGCUAACUACGU